rnacentral:rRNA from 1 species
CUAAGAGCAUGCGGUGGAUGCCUUGGCACCAAGAGCCGAAGAAGGACGUAGCGUUGCUGCGAUAAGCCUCGGGUAGCUGCUAGCGAGCGUUUGAUCCGGGGAUUUCCGAAUGGGGCAACCCGCCUGGAGUAAUGUCCAGGCACUCCCAGCUGAAUAUAUAGGCUGGGUAGAGGGCACGCGGGGAACUGAAACAUCUAAGUACCCGCAGGAAGAGACAUUAUCCCCCUAGUAGUGGCGAGCGAAAAGGGGACAGCCUAAACCGGGCCGGCGUGAUAGCCGGCAGGCGUUUCCGGCCCGGGGUCGUGGGACCUUCUCGUUCUCUCUGCCGAGAGGACAAGGAGUUACAAAGUCGUCGUCUAGUGGAACUGCUUUGGAAAAGUGGGCCGUAGAAGGUGAGAGCCCUGUACGCGAAAGAUGAACGAUCUCCUUGAAGUGUUCCCAAGUACCACGGAACACGUGGAAUUCUGUGGGAAUCUGGGCGGACCAUCGUCCAAGGCUAAAUACUCUUGGUGACCGAUAGUGAACUAGUACCGUGAGGGAAAGGUGAAAAGCACCCCGGAAGGGGAGUUAAAAGUACCUGAAACCGCAUGCUUACAAACCGUGAGAGGGCUAUGUCUCCAGCUUGCUUGAGAAAUGCCUGAUUGCGUGCCUUUUGUAGAAUGAGCCGGCGAGUUACUUCAGUGUGGCGAGGUUAAGGGGUUGACACCCGGAGCCGUAGCGAAAGCGAGUCCGAAUAGGGCAUGGCCAUCCGAAUGGAUGGUGGUAGUCGCACUGAGUAGACCCGAAACCGAGUGACCUAUCCAUGGUCAGGGUGAAGCGCGGGUAAAACCGCGUGGAAGCCCGAACCGACCCCGGUUGAAAACGCGGCGGAUGAACUGUGGAUAGCGGUGAAAUGCCAAUCGAACUCGGAUAUAGCUGGUUCUCCUCGAAAUGCAUUUAGGUGCAGCGUCGUCAAUGGGUCUGUCGCAGGUAGAGCACUGAAUGGGCUAGGGGCGAUCACCUCGUUACCAAACCCAACCAAACUCCGAAUGGCAACAAACUUUCCGGCGGCAGUGAGACGGUGGGGGCUAAGCUUCAUCGUCGAAAGGGAAACAGCCCAGACCACCAGCUAAGGUCCCCAAGCACAAGCUAAGUGGGAAAGGAUGUCACGGUGUGCAGACAACCAGGAUGUUGGCUUAGAAGCAGCCACCAUUUAAAGAGUGCGUAAUAGCUCACUGGUCGAAUGUCGUGGCGCCGACAAUGAUCGGGGCUCAAGCUUGUCACCGAAGCUGUGGAUGGCUCCUCCUCUGGAGGGGUCGUGGUAGAGGAGCGUUCUGCGUGCAGCGAAGCCAGACCGUAAGGACAGGGUGGAGCGCGCAGAAGUGCGAAUGCCGGCACAAGUAGCGAGAAACGCGUGAGAAACGUGUUCGCCGUAAACCUAAGGUUUCCUGGGCAACGUUAAUCGUCCCAGGGUCAGUCGGGACCUAAGCCGAGGCCGAAAGGCGUAGGCGAUGGACAGUUGGUCAACAUUCCAACACCACCGAUCAGUCGUUAUCACCGAUGGGGGAACGGGGAAGGAUAGACCUAACGGAGCGACGGUUGACUCCGACGCAGCCAGGUAGGGGGUCAGGUAGGCAAAUCCGCCUGACAACUCCGAGACGGAUGCCAAGGCACUACGUGCCGAUGGGGUUGAUUCCAUGCCUCCAAGAAAAGCCUCUAGGGAGACUGACGGUGCCCGUACCGCAAACCGACUCAGGUAGGUGGGAAGAGGAUUCCAAGGCGAUCGAGAGAAGCGUGGCUAAGGAACUCGGCAAAAUGUCCCCGUAACUUCGGGAGAAGGGGAGCCCUUGACGGUGAUCGGAUUCACUCCGUGAGCUGAUGAGGGCCGCAGAGAAAAGGCCCAACCGACUGUUUACUAAAAACACAGGUCUCUGCUAAAGCGUAAGCUGACGUAUAGGGGCUGACGCCUGCCCGGUGCCGGAAGGUUAAGUGGAGGGGUGCAAGCUCUGAAAUGAAGCCCCGGUAAACGGCGGCCGUAACUAUAACGGUCCUAAGGUGGAAUAGCUGCCUUAGUAAAAUCCGGCUAAAUGCUGGAACAUCCGAGAAUCCCGCGCUACCAGCAACACGCUGGUGACAAUGCGACGGGUGCGGACAAUCAGCAGGAAAGACUGGCGAGCGAAGCGUUCACCAGAAUCCUCAGAGGCCAUACGCCGGACGCCUGGAGACAACCAGGUGAAGAGAUGGUCCCAUCUGCAUGGCGACAUGCAGGGAGGCGUGGAACCCUCCGCCGGCUGACACGUGUCAGGCGGUAAGAAAGGAGCGAAAUUCCUUGUCGGGUAAGUUCCGACCCGCACGAAUGGCGUAACGAGUUGGGCGCUGUCUCGGCCACGCACUCGGCGAAAAUGCAGUACCUGUGAAGAUGCAGGUUUCCCGCAGCAGGACGGAAAGACCCCGUGGAGCUUUACUACAACUUGUCAUUGAAAUGGGGUCUAGCAUGUAGAGGAUAGCUGGGAGACUAUGAAGUCGGGCCGCUAGGUUCGGUGGAGUCAACCUUGGAAUACCAGCCUUGCUAGAUUUUAUUUCUAACCAGCACCGUCAUCCGGUGUUGGGACCAUGACAGGCGGGUAGUUUGACUGGGGCGGUCGCCUCCCAAAAGGUAACGGAGGCGCCCAAAGGUUCCCUCAGCCUGGAUGGAAAUCAGGCCUUGGCGUGUAAUGGCGUAAGGGAGCUUGACUGUGAGGCCGACAAGCCGAGCAGGGACGAAAGUCGGGCAUAGUGAUCCGACGACUCUGAAUGGAAAGGUCGUCGCUCAACGGAUAAAAGCUACCCCGGGGAUAACAGGCUGAUCUUGCCCAAGCGUUCACAGCGACGGCAAGGUUUGGCACCUCGAUGUCGGCUCGUCGCAUCCUGGGGGUGUAGUCGCUCCCAAGGGUUGGGCUGUUCGCCCAUUAAAGCGGUACGCGAGCUGGGUUUAGAACGUCGUGAGACAGUUCGGAUCGUAUCCGCUGUGGGCGCAGGAGAUUUGAGGAGAGCUGACCUUAGUACGAGAGGACCGGGUUGGACGAACCGCUGGUGUACCGGUUGUUUCGCCAGAAGCACCGCCGGGUAGCUAUGUUCGGAUGGGAUAAGCGCUGAAAGCAUCUAAGCACGAAGCCCACUCCAAGAUAAGAUCUCCCACCGGGUUAACCGGGUAAGACCCCAGAGAGACCAUCUGGUUGAUAGGCCGCAGGUGUAAGAGAGGCAACUCUUUGAGCUGAGCGGUACUAAUCGGUCGAGGGCUUGACUU